rnacentral:rRNA from 1 species
UACGUAGGGACCAAGCGUUGUUCGGAUUUACUGGGCGUAAAGGGCGCGUAGGCGGCGCGGUAAGUCACUUGUGAAAUCUCUGAGCUUAACUCAGAACGGCCAAGUGAUACUGCAGUGCUAGAGUGUGGAAGGGGCAAUCGGAAUUCUUGGUGUAGCGGUGAAAUGCGUAGAUAUCUGGAGGAAUACCGGUGGCGAAGGCGGCAUCCUGGACCGAGAUUGACACUGAUGAGCGAAAGCCAGGGGAGCAAACGGG